rnacentral:tRNA from 1 species
GGGGGUUUAGCUCAGUUGGUAGAGCGUUCGCUUAGCAUCGUCUAAAUUGCGAAAGGUCGCGUGUUCGACUCAUGCAGUCUCCA